rnacentral:rRNA from 1 species
UGUGCCCAGAUGGGAUUAGCUAGUAGGUGGGGUAACGGCUCACCUAGGCGACGAUCCCUGGCUGGUCUGAGAGGAUGACCAGCCACACUGGAACUGAGACACGGUCCAGACUCCUACGGGAGGCAGCAUG